AUCUUUAAAAUUAAAAGAUUUGGCGGUAUUUUAGUCUGUUCAGAGGAACCUGUUUCUUAAUUGAUAGUCCACGAUAAAUAUUACUUUAACUUUAAGUUUACAUAUCGUCGUUUAUAAAAAUUUUAUAAUAUAAUUUUUUCAGAUCAAGGUGUAGUUUAUGUUAAAGUUGAAAUGGGUUACAUUAAAAAUUUUAAUUAAAUUGGAUUUGAUAGUAAGCUCUAAAAUAUGCACAUAUCGCCCGUCGCUUUCACUUUAAAGUGGAAUAAGUCGUAACAAAGUAGGCUUAUUGGAAAAUGAGCCUAGAAUGCAAAUUAGAGCUUGUUAAGCUUUUUAUUUACAUUAAAAUGAAAAUUGUGGUUCAAUUUAAUUUGAAUUGAAAAACUUAUUUUAUUGGUUUUUGUUUUAUUUUUGUAGGAAAUAUAUUUUCUUUGAUUUUUUGUUAGAAAUAAUUUUAUUAUAGUUUAUUAGUACUGUGAAGGAUAAAUUUAAAUUUUAAAAAGAAUAUUAGAUAUAGUACCUUUUGUAUCAGGGCUGAUAAAUUUUUUUUUCCCGAAUCUAUAAAAGUUAUUUUUUUUGUUGUAUAGAAAUUUAAAAUUUAAUUAUAGUAAUGAAAUGUUAUUCGUUUUUAGUAUAUCUGGUUUCUUAAGAAAUAAAUUAAAUUUAGUAAUUUUAUAAUGAUUUUAUUAGGGAUAAGCUUAGCCUAUAAUUAAAAAUGUAUUUGUUUAAAAUUUUUAUAGGAUUAGAAAUUUCCACUUUUAAUUUGUUAUAAUUAUUGUUUUAAUUUUUUAUUAGGAUUUUUUUAUUAAUUUUAAUUAAAUAGUAAUAAUGAUUAGAUUAGUAAGAUAAUUUAAAGGAAUUCGACAAAUAUAAUUUUCACCUGUUUAUUAAAAACAUGUCUUUUUGUAUUUUAUUUAAAGUCGGUCCUGCCCAAUGAUUUAAUGGCCGCAGUAUUUUGACUGUGCAAAGGUAGCAUAAUCAUUAGUUUUUUAAUUGAAAGCUGGAAUGAAUGGGCUGAUGAGAAAUUUAUUGUCUCUAGAAUUUUAUUUUUGAGUGAAAAAGCUCAAAUUUUUUAGAAAGACGAGAAGACCCUUUAGAGUUUUUUUAUUGGGGUGAUAAGAAAAUUUAAUAAACUUUUCUGAUUUUUGAAUUUUUGAUCCUAGAUUAAAAGAUUAAAUUACCUUAGGGAUAACAGCGUUAUUUUUUCUUAAAGUUCUUAUUG
rnacentral:rRNA from 1 species